rnacentral:rRNA from 1 species
GACGAACGCUGGCGGCGUGCUUAACACAUGCAAGUCGAACGGAAAGGCCCCUUUGGGGGUACUCGAGUGGCGAACGGGCGAGUAACACGUGAGUAACCUGCCCUUGACUUCGGGAUAACUUCAGGAAACUGGGGCUAAUACCGGAUAGGAAUCCUUGCUGCAUGGUGGGGGUUGGAAAGCUUCGGCGGUUUUGGGUGGGCUCGCGGCGUAUCCGCUUGUUGGUGGGGUAGUGGCUUACCAAGGCUUUGACGGGUAGCCGGCCUGAGAGGGCGACCGGCCACAUUGGGACUGAGAGACGGCCCAGACGCCUACGGGAGGCAGCAGUGGGGAAUAUUACACAAGGGGCGGAAGCCGGAUGCAGCAACGCCGCGUGCGGGAUGACGGCCUUCGGGUUGGAAACCGCGUUCAGCAGGGGCGAAGCUUGUGGUGACGGUACCUGCAGAAGAAGCACCGGCUAACUACGUG